CUUCAUCCGACCCGUCUUGUAACACGGACCAAGGAGUCCAUCGCCCGCGCGAGUGCUCGGGUGGCAAACCCCUGCGCGCAGCGAAAGCGAAGGCCCGGGCGCCCGUGGGCCCUCGCCCACCGCCGCCCGGGCCCAGGUGGGAGCGGCCCUGCCGCGCACCAUCAUCCGGCCGCACGACCCCGGUCGGCGGCCCCCGGCAGAGCGCGGGGGGGGGGGGCCGGAAGAAGGGGAA
rnacentral:rRNA from 1 species